rnacentral:rRNA from 1 species
UACAGAGGUCCCGAGCGUUGUUCGGAUUCACUGGGCGUAAAGGGUGCGUAGGCGGUCGGGUAAGUCUGAUGUGAAAUCUCACAGCUUAACUGUGAAACUGCAUUGGAUACUAUUCGGCUUGAGAGUUGGAGGGGGGACUGGAAUUCCUGGUGUAGCGGUGAAAUGCGCAGAUAUCAGGAAGAACACCAAUGGCGAAGGCAGCUCUCUGGGACGGUACUGACACUGAGACGCGAAAGCGUGGGGAGCAAACAGG